CCCUUAGAUGUUCUGGGCCGCACGCGCGCUACACUGACGAAUGCAACGAGCUUAUAACCUUGGCCGAAAGGUCUGGGUAAUCUCCAAAUUUCGUCGUGAUGGGGAUAGAUUAUUGCAAUUAUUAAUCUUCAACGAGGAAUGCCUAGUAAGCGCAAGUCAUCAGCUUGCGUUGAUUACGUCCCUGCCCUUUGUACACACCGCCCGCCGCUCCUACCGAUUGAAUGGUCCGGUGAAGCGUUCGGACCGUGGCCUUUGGACGGUUCGCCGUCUGUUGGCUGCGGGAAGUUCGUUAAACCUUNUNAUUUAGNGGAAGGAGAANUCGUANCA
rnacentral:rRNA from 1 species